rnacentral:rRNA from 1 species
GACAAACGCUGGCGGCGUGCUUAACACAUGCAAGUCGAACGGAAAGACCCUGCUUUUGUGGGGUGCUCGAGUGGCGAACGGGUGAGUAACACGUGAGUAACCUGCCCUUGACUUUGGGAUAACUUCAGGAAACUGGGGCUAAUACCGGAUAGGAGCUCCUGCUGCAUGGUGGGGGUUGGAAAGUUUCGGCGGUUGGGGAUGGACUCGCGGCUUAUCAGCUUGUUGGUGGGGUAGUGGCUUACCAAGGCUUUGACGGGUAGCCGGCCUGAGAGGGUGACCGGCCACAUUGGGACUGAGAUACGGCCCAGACUCCUACGGGAGGCAGCAGUGGGGAAUAUUGCACAAUGGGCGGAAGCCUGAUGCAGCAACGCCGCGUGCGGGAUGACGGCCUUCGGGUUGUAAACCGCUUUCGCCUGUGACGAAGCGUGAGUGACGGUAAUGGGUAAAGAAGCACCGGCUAACUACGUG